UACGUAGGGCGCAAGCGUUAUCCGGAAUUAUUGGGCGUAAAGAGCUCGUAGGCGGUUUGUCGCGUCUGCCGUGAAAGUCCGGGGCUCAACUCCGGAUCUGCGGUGGGUACGGGCAGACUAGAGUGAUGUAGGGGAGACUGGAAUUCCUGGUGUAGCGGUGAAAUGCGUAGAGAUCGGCAGGAACACCCAGGGAGAAAGCAGCCGCCUGGGCAAGUGCUGACGCUGAGGUGCGAAAGCGUGGGGAGCGAACAGG
rnacentral:rRNA from 1 species